AUUAGAAAGUCUAAAAACGAAACCCUUUAUUUUGAAAAACAAUGGGCAAUGAAUCAGGUCCGAUAGCGGGUUUUCCAAUAGGCCGUACAAGGAGCUCUAGGAACUCUGAAUAGUUGUUUGAAUACCGAGUUACAUUUCUGUACGAUAUGGUGUAUGUAG
rnacentral:rRNA from 1 species